UACGGAGGGGGCGAGCGUUAUUCGGAAUUAUUGGGCGUAAAGGGUGCGUAGGCGGCCUUGUAAGUCAAAGGUGAAAUCCCUCGGCUCAACUGAGGAACUGCCUUUGAAACUGCAAGGCUUGAGGCCGGGAGGGGGUAGCGGAAUUCCCAAUGUAGCGGUGAAAUGCGUAGAUAUCAGGAAGAACACCCGUGGCGAAGGCGCUCUGCUGGACCAUAACUGACACUCAGGGACGAAAGCUAGGGGAGCGAAUGGG
rnacentral:rRNA from 1 species